UAAAACGCAAACAACAAUCAUGCAAGAAUCGUGU
rnacentral:guide_RNA from 1 species